CUGUGCACAUGCCAGUCCUUGGGACUAGCACUGGCUGGGGAAGCACUUCACCAUUGCUUAGCUCUGGACCUAGCCUUCAUGCCAACAUGAACCAAAUCUCUGGGACCAAUAAGCCACAUUGUGCAGGAUGCAGAUGCUGAUAGGAGAAACCAGAAUUAUUUCUCUAUCUGUGAAUCAGUACAGAAGACCAGUACAAGAUCCAGAACCUAAAAGUUUGACUCAGUUAUUCCUACUAAGAGGAGUAGUAUUCCCAGUUAUCUCUUUGUGAAGUUCUUGGACCAGACUACCACAGGUUAUAGGUAUCAGUAGAGAGAACAGUAGGAAUGUUUGGUGGGAAGCAGGUAGACUGCAGACAGACAUGAACCAACCUUUUGUCCAGGGGCUCCAUCUUCUCCUGGAAGACCAGGCAAACCUGCCAGUCCUGAAGGGCCUGGCUCACCCUGACAUCAAUAAAAAAUUUCCCCUGGAAAAAUGAAAAAGCAAAACAGGUUGUGAGGAUAUAUAACCCAAAUGUAAG